rnacentral:rRNA from 1 species
AUUGAACGCUGGCGGCAUGCCUAACACAUGCAAGUCGAGCGGCAGCGCGGGGGCAACCCUGGCGGCGAGCGGCGGACGGGUGAGGAAUGCAUCGGAAUCUACCUCGUUGUGGGGGAUAACCUCGGGAAACCGGGACUAAUACCGCAUACGACCUACGGGUGAAAGUGGGGGACCUUCGGGCCUCACGCGAUGAGAUGAGCCGAUGCCGGAUUAGCUAGUUGGCGGGGUAAAGGCCCACCAAGGCGACGAUCCGUAGCUGGUCUGAGAGGAUGAUCAGCCACACUGGAACUGAGACACGGUCCAGACUCCUACGGGAGGCAGCAGUGGGGAAUAUUGGACAAUGGGCGCAAGCCUGAUCCAGCCAUGCCGCGUGUGUGAAGAAGGCCUCGGUUGUAAG